AAUUCUAUAAUAACAAAAAUGUUGGCAGGCCAAUAAAGUUUAAUGCACUAUUGACUACAUAUGAAGUAGUUCUGAAAGAUAAAGCUGUCCUUUCAAAGAUCAAGUGGUGCUAUCUGAUGGUUAAUGAAGCACACAGGUUAAAAAAUAGUGAAGCACAGUUGUAUACAACACUUUCGGUAGGUUAAUCAUGGCAAUUGAAUUUACAACUGCCCAUUUUAUCUUUCCUUUUCAAGUUUAGUUUGUUACCAUUUGCUAGUGCUGUGAUUGACAGGAAUUUAGCACCAAGAACAAGUUUUUGAUUACUGGUACUCCAUUACAGAACAGUGUGGAAGAGUUGUGGGCCCUGCUUCAUUUCCUUGAUCCAGAUAAGUUCAGGAGUAAAGAUGAUUUUGUUCAGAAUUACAAGAAUCUUGGCUCUUUUAAUGAGAAUGAGCUUGCUAAUCUUCAUACGGAAUUAAGACCUCACAUUCUCCGAAGAGUUAUUAAGGAUGUAGAGAAAUCUUUGCCUCCAAAAAUUGAGCGAAUUCUUAGGGUUGACAUGUCUCCACUUCAGAA